rnacentral:rRNA from 1 species
AGUGAACGCUGGCGGUAGGCCUAACACAUGCAAGUCGAACGGCAGCACAGUAAGAGCUUGCUCUUACGGGUGGCGAGUGGCGGACGGGUGAGGAAUACAUCGGAAUCUACUUUUUCGUGGGGGAUAACGUAGGGAAACUUACGCUAAUACCGCAUACGACCUACGGGUGAAAGCAGGGGAUCUUCGGACCUUGCGCGAUUGAAUGAGCCGAUGUCGGAUUAGCUAGUUGGCGGGGUAAAGGCCCACCAAGUCGACGAUCCGUAGCUGGUCUGAGAGGAUGAUCAGCCACACUGGAACUGAGACACGGUCCAGACGCCUACGGGAGGCAGCAGUGGGGAAUAUUGGACAAUGGGCGCAAGCCUGAUCCAGCCAUACCGCGUGGGUGAAGAAGGCCUUCGGGUUGUAAAGCCCUUUUGUUGGGAAAGAAAAGCAGCAGGUUAAUACCCCGCUGUUCUGACGGUACCCAAAGAAUAAGCACCGGCUAACUUCGUG